rnacentral:rRNA from 1 species
GGGGAAUAUUGGACAAUGGGCGAAAGCCUGAUCCAGCAAUGCCGCGUGAGUGAAGAAGGCCUUAGGGUUGUAAAGCUCUUUCGUCCACGACGAUAAUGACGGUAGUGGAAGAAGAAGCCCCGGCUAACUCCGUGCCAGCAGCCGCGGUAAUACGGAGGGGGCUAGCGUUGUUCGGAAUUACUGGGCGUAAAGCGCGCGUAGGCGGCCAUGCAAGUCAGAGGUGAAAGCCCGGAGCUUAACUUCGGAACUGCCUUUGAGACUGCAUGGCUUGAACCCGGGAGAGGUAAGUGGAAUUCCGAGUGUAGAGGUGAAAUUCGUAGAUAUUCGGAGGAACACCAGUGGCGAAGGCGGCUUACUGGACCGGUGUUGACGCUGAGGCGCGAAAGCGUGGGGAGCAAAC